UUAAAUUUAUUUUUACACUGGUUUUGGAUUCAUCUUCUAAAAACAAAACAAAAUAAAAAACAUCCCUGAAAGUUCUUUAUCUUGUAAAGAAAAAACCCAUUUGCAUGGAAUUGAGGAUCCCGAGGGAAAUUGUAGUCCAACCACAACUACCUCUAGAACUUUAACCACAACUCAUUUUGCAGUUCAUAAUUCUUAUGUAACAAAAACACCCAAGAGACUUCCACUAUGCAAGGUAUCUUAAAUUAGUUAUUGAAAUUAAGAGUACGGUAAAGGACGGCUAUGAAAGUUAUUUGGCAUUAUUGACCAGAUGGAACCUCAAUAGAAACUCUGAGAUUUUGUUGAUUUAAAAAUUCAUUCAUUCAUAUUGGUUCUCUAAUAGUGAUCAAUUCUGUAAUCACAUAUUAUUUUCCGGUUUUUUUUUUUCUUUUGGGUAUGUCAUUAGCUUUAACUAGUGUAGUUUUUACUGUUUAGCCCAGGUGGAUCUGAAAUAUUAAGAACAGAGCUCUUAGACCUCCUUUUCUGAAAUCUGGUUUAAAUUCUAUCCUUACAACUGAGGUUGACGUCUCGUCAAUACAAGCAGAGUUUGUCUGACUUGAUGUAGCCCAUAAUAAGCAGUUCUUUACGGAUUUUGUUUUUCAAGAACAUUGAAGCAAGUGAACGCUCAAUUCACAGGUCUUGUGCUUUUGCAUCUCUAAUUUAAGACCAGAGCUCUUAGAACUCCUUUUCUGAAAUCUGGUUUCAAUUCUAUCCUUACACCUGAGGACGACUUGUCAAUACAGCCCAUAAUAAACGGUGCAAGAAAAGUUCCUUGAAGAUCUUGUACUAUGGGAAAGAAAGGGCAAAAUGAUGUAAACUAUACAAAAGGAGCAUGCAGGGAUGAACUCUCUUCAAACUUUCAAUUUACUUUUGUUCCUUCAGAUGAAUUGCAUCAUACUCUCUACAUUUGUUUUUUAGUCCACUUUUAAAUUCACAUUUAACUUGUGUUUAGUAUAAAACAAAUAACAAAAGUUCAACAUUAUAUUGGACAAGAUUGUAAGGAAGUUUAAAGUUUUUUGUAGGUGGAAUUCAACUACGUUGUUAUUUCCUAAGAUUUCAUUGUGCAUUAAAACUGGUUAUUAAGCUAUAAAUGCCACCAAGACCUUAUUCUUUGAAAUUUAUUUUCGAUUAUCACAGAAGAGAGGUUUUUUGAUCGAUCAGUAGAUAUGUUUUAUGUACCCUUUUGCUUGAUGCUGAUUAUCAACUUUUAACAAAAUUUCAUUAGACUGUAGGAGUAUAAAGCAGCUCGAGCUAAGUUAUUGCAGCAGGGGUGCUACCAUUACAAGAUCUCGGAGCCAAACUGACCAAAGAAAAUGAUGGCAGGGAACUGAUAGAGCUAUCCACUCUGGAAGAAAAGACAAUUCCUGACGAACUUGUUAAAAUUCAAGCAUACAUAAGUUGGGAGAAAUCAAGGGAAGCUAAUUACACUGUGAGGGAUAUUUAUUCUCCCUGUCUCUCUAACUCACCGGCCCAAAGCAGGCUCAAAAUACGUUGGAGUUGAAAAAAUUCAAAGAAAGCAGAGGGACCUUAUGCAACUUGUAAAUAAAAAUGUCCUCAACAUAUAGAGGAAACAUAUUCAGCUAAGCCAAAAGCCUUGACAUAUGUUAAACUAAAGGAAGAACAUGAUCGUGGUUCUUGUAAUAGAAAAUGCUAGUACGACAAAGAUUCAUUUGACUACAGAUUUGCAGGAUCCAGUUACAGUGUGCUGGUGUUUAUCUAGAACAAAUGUUGGCGAGUGAUUGGUAAAAUGCUAAAACUCUUGUUUCAUUAAAAUUUUUUGGGAGAAGGUGUAGAUACUCUAAUGCAAUUUUUCCAGAAAAAAGUUUAUGUAAUUUGUGGGCAUUUCUAGUCCAUGGGGUCCAGUUUCAUUGAGUCAGGCAGUUGAAGCACAAUUUAUAUCCCUUCUUAAAGGUUCCACAUCUAGAAAUCUUGAUUGAAGGAGGAUAUGGUUAUGUGGUGUGAUUUAUCAUCGUACCCUUUUUUUACACCUAAUUUGCCUCAUCAAUGAAGGAGAGAAUUUUCAUAAAAGGAUAUUGAGGAUGGUAAAGGGUACUGCAAGCCAUUGUUGGAUGGAUAAUAUAGCAGAACUGAAGAGAUUGCAUUUUAAAGCAAAUCACCUGAUAUUCUUCCUUUACAUAUUGAUCUGUUAGGCGGAAAUUUGCCCAGCUGGCUGUUGUGACUCUACUUGAGCAGAAAUUUUGCGCGGAACUCAGCAGCGUUGUAUUUGUCAUGAGGCGUGGUCCCUCAUGCUCAACGAUGAUCAAUCUUGGAAAGGGGCACUGUGUUUGUCAGGUUUCUUCUUUUCACUUUUAUUUUAGCAAUUCUUGCGAUUCUUUUCUGAUGGUAAUGUUCUGAUACCUUUCUCUAGGUCAAUGUGCCUUGACUCGAGGCUAUUGAAUCCUCUUUUUUUCAAGAUGGUCAUUUUCUCUUUCACUAUUGUAUGAAUAGCCUCCUUAGAUAUGAUUUUCCUGACGUAGUGGUGGAUAGAAUGAUAAUAUGGUUACAUGUUUGCUUAGCUUGUGUAAAUAUGAGCAACCAUAUAUAUGUUUGAACCUAACCUAAUGGUAUUAUAUUAUGAACCAAAUAAAUGACCCGUGAAAUAAAUUCUAUUUACAAUCCAAACAUUGGAUUGGGAAGUGGCAAGGCUUUAAACUCUUGGUGGAUAGAAGCUGCGGUUACUCGAAUGGUUCUUCAGAAAUUUAAUUAUGACACUAAUGCUUAAAAGGUCCCAUUAUGUACGGCUCAGAAAAUUUGUUGUAGGUCCCUCUUUUUAUUUUUUCUUUUCCAUCCAGAUACCUGCUUCUCUUCAUCUUGUUCAUAUUUUGAGCUUUUGUGUACUGUCUUCAAUGUCUUCAAUAUCUUAGUAUUAUCGGGGUGGUUUCUAAUCAUUUCUUACUAACAAAGGAACCCAGGAGUGUUGUAUUUGUCAUGAGGUGUGGUCACUCGUGCUCAACGACGAUCAAUCUUGAAAAGGGGCAAAACUUUAUGUAUGUAUUAUUGUGCAUUUUUAACUCCUCCUUCCAUUAUCGAGUGUGAAACGUUAGAGUCUUCCAGUUCUAGCUUCAUGUUCUUGCUUCUUUUUCCUCUUUGCGUGUACAUUACUGCUGCAUUUUCUAUUUACCUGCUUUCUUUUUUUUUUUUUUGGUUGU